UGUAAAAAAUGAAGAGAGAACCUGUGAAAUUGAGAUGGUUUAUUGAACUCUACAUCAACUCAUCAACCGGUACAGCAUGUCAAUAACCAAAUGAGCACUCAGCUAACGGUAUAUAAAGUGAUAGAAUUGAAGUUUUCGUCGCAGAGAAAGAGCACCGAUUUGUUACAAAAAAUCGCUAUGGUAAAAGUGCUGUUUUUGAUGCUGUUUGCAGCCAUGGCUGCUGACAUCAUCGGAGCCCGGCCGGAUGGAUUUCUAAAGCAACAAUCCAGUGAUCAUGAACCACAAUCCAGAACUGUAAAUGGCGACGCCGACACAACAUACGACGAGUAUUCCGGUGAAGACGGCAACGGUGGUUACCAGGUUGACAGCGGGCACGAGAAAGGUACUGGCU